CCCUUCCCCUCUUAUCGGCUAGAUAAAAAUCGCGAUAUUUGAGCGUAGCCGUGUCACGCAGGCACACGAUGGCUAGAACCGCGUUAUAAGCAACAGCUCGAGGCAUGGCGGCAGCCAGUUCACAGUCGGCACGCGACCGAAACGGACCGUUGCUCGCGCGAGCGACGUGUCCUUGAUGGAGGACACGCGCCAGGACGAGAAGCCUGAUUUGUUACCAGCCAGUGUGUGUCAGUUGGCCCGAUCGAACGUGAUACAGUCGUGUUCGUUUCGAAGAGUGUUCGACACGCACCGUUAUCGAUCGUUGGAUCCUUCGAGUGUUCAGUGAAGAGAACUUUCUUCUCUUUUUUCGGUGCAUGUGCAAAGUGAUUCGAAGGGAAGGGAAGAGCAAGAGAUUGUUUCGGAAGGAUUUUGAACGCGGCUGGUGGAUUUAGAGAGUUUCGUUUACAGCAAGAAGCUCGAUAAGAAAGCUCGUCGUGAAACGGGAGGUCGAGAAGGGCUCGGCCGAAAAAUUCUGAAACUAGCUCUGAAACGAGAAACAAAGAAAAAGUAGCAAAAGUAGCAAGAAAAAAA